rnacentral:rRNA from 1 species
CACGAGUGGCGAACGGGUGAGUAACACGUGGGUAAUCUGCCCUGCACUUCGGGAUAAGCCUGGGAAACUGGGUCUAAUACCGGAUAUGAACUCCUGCUGCAUGGUGGGGGUUGGAAAGUUUUUCGGUGCAGGAUGAGCCCGCGGCCUAUCAGCUUGUUGGUGGGGUAAUGGCCUACCAAGGCGACGACGGGUAGCCGGCCUGAGAGGGUGAUCGGCCACACUGGGACUGAGACACGGCCCAG